rnacentral:rRNA from 1 species
GUCGAGAAUCUUCCGCAAUGCGCGAAAGCGUGACGGAGCGACACCGCGUGAUGGAUGAAGUCCUUCGGGGCGUAAACAUCUUUUAUAAAGGAGGAAAUUUUUGACGUUACUUUAUGAAUAAGGGGCUCCCAAUCUCGUGCCAGCAGGAGCGGUAAUACGAGAGCCUCAAGCGUUAUCCGGAAUCAUUGGGCGUAAAGGGUGCGUAGGUGGUUUGAUUAGUCUCCCGUUAAAACUUCGAGCUUAACUCGAAAAGAGCGGGGGAAACGGUCAAACUAGAGUAUGUGAGAGGUGUGUGGAACUCAUGGUGUAGGGGUGAAAUCCGUUGAUAUCAUGGGGAACACGAAAAGCGAAGGCAGCACACUGGCACAUCACUGACACUGAGGCACGAAACCUAAGGUAGCGAAUGGGAUUAGAUACCCGUGUAGUCC